CACAUAUAAUGAUAGGAUGUAUGCUUGUUGGUACCAUUAAGUGUCAAUGGCUAAUUCUACACUCUUCAUUAUUGUUAUUUGCUAUAUGUUUAAUUUGUCGAAACAGGAUUUAAAUUCCUUGAAAACAAAAUGGAUGACUCAUUUAGGUUGUUUCGGAGUAAUCGAAUUGGCAGAUUCGACAAAAGUCCAAUUGACAAGAAUAACCGACAACCAACCUAAAACAUGUUCAAGACAUUGCAUGAAAUGGAAUUUCUUCGCUUUAC